UAUAGACUGUAUAGCAGCUGUCAUGUGUGAUCCCGGUGAGUAGACAACUAGAAGCAGGCAGAAGAACGUGUGAAAAUUUUACUGUACAAGUGAGUGAAUUUAUAAAUUGAAUUAUUGAAAUACUUGGGGUUUAUUAAGUCUAAAAUUACCGCUUUAAAAUCUAAUUUACAUCUACUUACAAGCCUAGAAGCCUAUGUAAUAGCGAUGCCAGUACAGUACAAAUCGAUACAGGAAUCAACUUCCUCAGCAGGAGACAGCCAAUUGAACUAUAAACUGAAUUGCCAAAUCAAUUAGCGAUCUCAAGACUAAGUGAAGGACUAAACGAAUAUUAUAAUCUCCGUAUCACCCCGAAAAGCUACGCUGGUUGUUUUUAUUGUUGGAGAUUAUACGUUCGGAAAUAACCCUUUAAUGCACGUUGACUGGAAUUGUCAACACCCAGUGUUACGGGGAUCAAAGAUACCUGUUGUAUGAUGUGAAAAAAAAAAUAAUUUUUUUG